rnacentral:rRNA from 1 species
UUGAACGCUGGCGGAAUGCUUUACACAUGCAAGUCGAGCGGCAGCGCGGGGGCAACCCUGGCGGCGAGCGGCGAACGGGUGAGUAAUGUAUCGGAACGUACCUCGUCGUGGGGGAUAACGCAGCGAAAGUUGUGCUAAUACCGCAUACGUCCUGAGGGAGAAAGCGGGGGACCGUAAGGCCUCGCGCGAUGAGAGCGGCCGAUAUCUGAUUAGCUAGUUGGUGGGGUAAAGGCUCACCAAGGCGACGAUCAGUAGCUGGUCUGAGAGGACGACCAGCCACACUGGGACUGAGACACGGCCCAGACUCCUACGGGAGGCAGCAGUGGGGAAUUUUGGACAAUGGGGGCAACCCUGAUCCAGCCAUUCCGCGUGAGUGAAGAAGGCCUUCGGGUUGUAAAGCUCUUUCAGCAGGAACGAAACGGUCGGCUUUAAUAAAGUCGGCUAAUGACGGUACCUGCAGAAGAAGCACCGGCUAACUACGU